rnacentral:tRNA from 1 species
AGGAAAGGGAGGGAUUCGACC